AUUGAACGCUGGCGGCAUGCUUUACACAUGCAAGUCGAACGGUAACAGGCCGCAAGGUGCUGACGAGUGGCGAACGGGUGAGUAAUGCAUCGGAACGUGCCCAGUCGUGGGGGAUAACGCAGCGAAAGCUGCGCUAAUACCGCAUACGAUCUAUGGAUGAAAGCGGGGGACCGUAAGGCCUCGCGCGAUUGGAGCGGCCGAUGUCAGAUUAGGUAGUUGGUGGGGUAAAGGCUCACCAAGCCGACGAUCUGUAGCUGGUCUGAGAGGACGACCAGCCACACUGGGACUGAGACACGGCCCAGACUCCUACGGGAGGCAGCAGUGGGGAAUUUUGGACAAUGGGGGCAACCCUGAUCCAGCAAUGCCGCGUGCAGGAAGAAGGCCUUCGGGUUGUAAACUGCUUUUGUACGGAACGAAACGGUCCGGGCUAAUACCCUGGGCUAAUGACGGUACCGUAAGAAUAAGCACCGGCUAACUACGUGCCAGCCGCCGCCGUAAUAC
rnacentral:rRNA from 1 species